rfam:Omnitrophica WOR_2 bacterium RIFCSPHIGHO2_02_FTLL_46_37 rifcsphigho2_02_scaffold_22147, whole genome shotgun sequence.
GCCGGGGUGGCGGAACUGGCAGACGCACGGGACUUAAAAUCCCGCGGCCGUAAGGUUGUAAGGGUUCAAUUCCCUUCCCCGGCA